CAAAUCGCGCCCUAUAUUUAUCCCCGAGCGCGCUUUCUCGGGCGAUAAACGAGCAAGUCAACAUGCUCGCACGAAUGAAAAAAAAGAGGUCUCCUGUAUGCGAGACCCCCCAAUGAGCGCAAUUAAAAUGCGGCGCGGAUCAACACGGCUACUGUUCGCUGCUGCGUUAUCUGCUCGAGGCGAACGCGAUGUCGGGGUAACUUUAGUGGGGGGAGGGAGGGGUGGCAAUUUAUUGGCGCACCCCCUCCCCCCUAUCCCACGCCACCCCCCCCAUCUCACUCGGCGAGCUACACACAGCCAUUUGAUAAAUGCACACCGAUCACUGUUCCCCACAACGCGCUGUUGCCGGAAUGCUGUGGACGCGCCCCGCUUUGCGCGCACGAGAGAACUCGCGUCCAAAAUCCCUCCCGUGCGACUCCACUCUGCCCGUGAGACAAAUUGACGGCCGCCUGGGCAAGGCGAUGGCGAGUGCGAGCCAGGGACGGGCUCCGUAAUCGAUUAAAGGGGAGCUGACGAAGCGUGCCCUCCUCAAUGCACGUUCAAUUCAUCCCCCCCCCCCACUCCGUCUCCCCGGGCUCACAACUGGCCAGCCCUCCCGAGCGCAGUGCAACGCUCAACGACAGAGAAUGACCCCCUGAAGUGGCUAUCAAGUAACUACUUGUGAAGAUUCCCACACAGGAGGGGACGGAAAUGUCCCCUACCUGCGUGGCACACAGACACUAAUGCUUGUCGCAUGUCAGUUAAAGCGAUAUUUUAAAUGUUCUCGGCUGGGAUUAAGACGAAUUAAUAGCAGAACCAUUUUAAAAGUGCUGUCAUCCAUCAUUUAUUUUGUGACUGUGGUGGGCCCAUCGACUGAUUACACUUGUGAAUUCCGGUUUUAUCAGAGGCCAGCGUGCCUGGAUUUUAACCCAGGAACUCAGCGGUGCCAGCUCAGCACUCUGACCAUCUGAGCCACCCAGCCAACCUCAUGUGCAAAACACUUUCAUUGCCGCUUUGAACUCCAAAAAAAAAAACCCGGUGUUGUUUCUACAACACUUGCACACGUGCUAUAUUAAGCCGAGGUGCUGAUGUACAACUGGAGGCGUUUGACCAGUAUUGCAGCCGCAUCAUUGAAAGAUUGGUAAGCGCGUCAUGUUUGCGGGUGUCUACGUAUUUUUUUUUUUUUGCGGGGUCUUGAAAUAAGCUCGUCCGUCUGAUGGGUCGCCGGCGAUCGCACUGCCGCUGCACUCUGUCGCGUGCUGCGCCUGCUGCACUCGCCACUGGCGAACGUGCGCAAGUGUGUGACGUUGCUCACAGGAGUGCCCGUGGGAGACUUGUGUAGGGGGGGGGGGGGGGG